rnacentral:rRNA from 1 species
GCCCUUUUCUACGGAAUAGCCUCGGGAAACUGAGUUUAAUACCGUAUACGCCCUUUGGGGGAAAGAUUUAUCGGUGAAGGAUUGGCCCGCGUUGGAUUAGGUAGUUGGUGGGGUAAUGGCCUACCAAGCCUACGAUCUUUAGCUGGUUUUAGAGGAUGAUCAGCAACACUGGGACUGAGACACGGCCCAGACUCCUACGGGAGGCAGCAGUGGGGAAUCUUAGACAAUGGGCGCAAGCCUGAUCUAGCCAUGCCGCGUGAGUGAUGAAGGCCUUAGGGUCGUAAAGCUCUUUCGCCAGGGAUGAUAAUGACAGUAUCUGGUAAAGAAAUCCCGGCUAACUCCGUGCCAGCAGCCGCGGUAAUACGGAGGGGAUUAGCGUUGUUCGGAAUUACUGGGCGUAAAGCGCACGUAGGCGGAUUAGUUAGUCGGAGGUGAAAUCCCAGGGCUCAACCCUGGAACUGCCUUUGAUACUGCUGGUCUUGAGUUCGAGAGAGGUGAGUGGAAUUCCGAGUGUAGAGGUGAAAUUCGUAGAUAUUCGGAGGAACACCAGUGGCGAAGGCGGCUCACUGGCUCGAUACUGACGCUGAGGUGCGAAAGUGUGGGGAGCAAACAGGAUUAGAUACCCUGGUAGUCCACACCGUAAACGAUGAAUGCCAGACGUCGGGCAGUAUACUGUUCGGUGACACACCUAACGGAUUAAGCAUUCCGCCUGGGGAGUAC